rnacentral:rRNA from 1 species
GCCAAGGAUGUUUUCAUUAAUCAAGGACGAAAGUUAGGGGAUCGAAAACGAUUAGAUACCGUUGUAGUCUUAACCAUAAACUAUGCCGACUCAGGAUCAGUGGAUGUUUAUCAUGACACCAUUGGCACUGUAGGAGAAAUCAAAGUUUUUGGGCUCCGGGGGGAGUACGGUCGCAAGGCUGAAACUUAAAGGAAUUGACGGAAGGGCACCACCAGGAGUGGAGCCUGCGGCUUAAUUUGACUCAACACGGGGAAACUCACCAGGUCCAGACAUAGUAAGGAUUGACAGAUUGAGAGCUCUUUCUUGAUUCUAUGGGUGGUGGUGCAUGGCCGUUCUUAGUUGGUGGAGUGAUCUGUCUGGUUAAUUCCGAUAACGAACGAGACCUUAUCUUACUAAAUAGCCCCAGGGAUUUCGAUUCCUUAGGGACUUCUUAGAAGGACUGUGGAUGUUUAAUCCACGGAAGUUUUAGGCAAUAACAGGUCUGUGAUGCCCUUAGAUGUUUUGGGCCGCACGCGCGCUACACUGAUGAAGUCAGCGAGUUCUAUCCUUGGCUGUGAAGCCUGGGUAAUCUUGUGAAACUUCAUCGUGAUGGGGAUAGGGCAUUGCAAUA